rnacentral:rRNA from 1 species
AGAGUUUGAUUAUGGCUCAGGACGAACGCUGGCGGCGUGCUUAAUGCAUGCAAGUCGAACGAGGACCCCACGUUGAGUAAUCAGUGAGGGGUUUCUAGUGGCGAACGGGUGAGUAACACGUGAGAAACCUGCCCCGGAGACCGGAAUAGCCCAGGGAAACCUGGAUUAAUACCGGAUACCCUCCAUCCCUCGCAUGUGGGAAGGAGGAAAUGGUCCGCCGCUCCGGGAUGGUCUCGCGUCCUAUCAGCUUGUUGGUGAGGUAAUGGCUCACCAAGGCUCCGACGGGUAGCUGGUCUGAGAGGACGAUCAGCCACACUGGGACUGAGACACGGCCCAGACUCCUACGGGAGGCAGCAGCAGGGAAUAUUGCACAAUGGGCGCAAGCCUGAUGCAGCGACGCCGCGUGAGGGAUGAAUGCCUUCGGGUUGUAAACCUCUUUCAGGAGGGACGAAGCGGAAGUGACGGUACCUCCAGAAGAAGCCCCGGCCAACUACGUGCCAGCAGCCGCGGUAAUACGUAGGGGGCGAGCGUUGUCCGGAUUCAUUGGGCGUAAAGAGCUCGUAGGCGGCUCAGUAAGUCGGCCGUGAAAGCCCGGAGCUCAACUCCGGGAUGCCGGUCGAUACUGCUGUGGCUAGGGUCCGGUAGAGGAGAGUGGAAUUCCCGGUGUAGCGGUGAAAUGCGCAGAUAUCGGGAGGAACACCAGUAGCGAAGGCGGCUCUCUGGGCCGGUACCGACGCUGAGGAGCGAAAGCUAGGGGAGCAAACAGGAUUAGAUACCCUGGUAGUCCUAGCCGUAAACGUUGGGCACUAGGUGUGGCGGAUUCAUUGACAUCUGCCGUGCCGUAGCUAACGCAUUAAGUGCCCCGCCUGGGGAGUACGGUCGCAAGGCUAAAACUCAAAUGAAUUGACGG